rnacentral:rRNA from 1 species
AGCUAAUAGAUACCCGGGUAGUCCACGCCCUAAACGAUGUCAACUAGUUGUUGGGGAUUCAUUUCCUUAGUAAACGUAGCUAAACGCGUGAAAGUUGACCGCCUGGGGAGUACGGUCGCAAGAUUAAAACUCAAAGGAAUUGACGGGGACCCGCACAAGCGGUGGAUGAUGUGGAUUAAUUCGAUGCAACGCGAAAAACCUUACCUACCCUUGACAUGGUCGGAAUCCUGCUGAGAGGCGGGAGUGCUCGAAAGAGAACCGGCGCACAGGUGCUGCAUGGCUGUCGUCAGCUCGUGUCGUGAGAUGUUGGGUUAAGUCCCGCAACGAGCGCAACCCUUGUCCUUAGUUGCUACGCAAGAGCACUCUAAGGAGACUGCCGGUGACAAACCGGAGGAAGGUGGGGAUGACGUCAAGUCCUCAUGGCCCUUAUGGGUAGGGCUUCACACGUCAUACAAUGGUCGGAACAGAGGGUUGCCAAGCCGCGAGGUGGAGCCAAUCCCAGAAAACCC